rnacentral:rRNA from 1 species
GGUUGAUAUUCCCGUACCGGCUGGGGACCGUCAAAGCCGAAGCGCGUGCGCUAACCUCCGCUUCCCGUCCAAGCGCCUUUCGGGGCGUGGACGCGGGUGGUGUUGGGAUCCCGCGUGUGGUAGGCCGACGCAGGAGUGACGCAGUCAGGUAGCCGGCCGCGGAGGUGGUUUUCCGUGGUCAAGCGUGCAGGCCGUCCCGUAGGCAAAUCCGCGGGGCAUAUGGCCGAGGCGUGAUGAUGGGCCCCUUAGGGGGCGAAUCCGGUGAUCCCUUCUGCCGAGAAAAGCUUCGGCGCCAGGGCCCUAUGCCGCCCGUACCCGAAACCGACACUGGUGGUCUGGUAGAGUAUACCAAAGCGAUCGAGCGAAUCCUGGUCAAGGAACUCGGCAAACCACUCCCGUGCCUUCGGCAUAAGGGAGACCCCUUGGGGUGAUGCGCCUCGCGCGUUGAGCCUUGGGGGGUGGCACAGGCCAGGGGGUAGCGACUGUUUACCAAAAACACAGGUGCAUGCGAAGGCGCAAGCCGCUGUAUAUGCACUGACGCCUGCCCGGUGCCGGAAGGUUAAGUGAUGGGGUGCAAGCUCUUGAUCGAAGCCCCGGUAAACGGCGGCCGUAACUAUAACGGUCCUAAGGUAGCGAAAUUCCUUGUCGGGUAAGUUCCGACCUGCACGAAUGGCGUAACGAUGGCCCCACUGUCUCCUCCUGGGACUCAGCGAAAUUGAAAUGGUUGUGAAGAUGCAAUCUCCCCGCGGCUAGACGGAAAGACCCCAUGAACCUUUACUGCAGCUUUGCAUUGGACUUUGAUGUGGCCUGUGUAGGAUAGGUGGGAGGCUGAGAAGCCGAGGCGCCAGCUUCGGUGGAGCCGCCCUUGAAAUACCACCCUGGUCACCUCGAGGUUCUAACCGCGCACCGUACAUCCGGUGCCGGGACCGUGCAUGGCAGGCAGUUUGACUGGGGCGGUCUCCUCCCAAAAGGUAACGGAGGAGCACGAAGGUACGCUUGGCACGGUCGGAAAUCGUGCUGUAUGUGCAAGGGCAUAAGCGUGCUUGACUGUGAGGCCCACAAGCCGAACAGGUGCGAAAGCAGGUCCUAGUGAUCCGGUGGUUCUGUAUGGAAGGGCCAUCGCUCAACGGAUAAAAGGUACCCUGGGGAUAACAGGCUUAUCUCCCCCAAGAGUCCACAGAUCGGAAG